GACGAACGCUGGCGGCGUGCCUAACACAUGCAAGUCGAGCGGAGUCAGUAAGAGGAAGUUUUCGGAUGGAAUCUUAUUGAUUUAGCGGCGGACGGGUGAGUAACGCGUGAGCGACCAACCUUGCACAGGGGGAUAACGGACCGAAAGGUUCACUAAUACCGCAUGAGACCACGGUGUUGCAUGACACAGAGGUCAAAGGAGCAAUCCGGUGCAAGACGGGCUCGCGUCCGAUUAGGUAGUUGGAGGGGUAACGGCCCACCAAGCCUAUGAUCGGUAGCCGACCUGAGAGGGUGAUCGGCCACAUUGGAACUGAGAUACGGUCCAAACUCCUACGGGAGGCAGCAGUGGGGAAUAUUGGGCAAUGGGGGAAACCCUGACCCAGCAACGCCGCGUGAAGGAAGAAGGUUUUCGGAUUGUAAACUUCUGUCCUUGGUGAAGAGAGGAAGACGGUAGCCAAGGAGGAAGCACCGGCUAAUUCCGUGCCAGCCGCCGCCGUAAAAC
rnacentral:rRNA from 1 species